rnacentral:rRNA from 1 species
GACGAACUCUGGCGGAGUGCCUAAUACAUGCAAGUAGAACGCAGUUGCGAACGGGUGAGUAACGCGUAGGUAACUGCCUCAUAGCGGGGGAUAACUAUUGGACACGAUAUCUAAGACCGCAUACUGUGAGAUGGACCUGCGUUGUAUUCGCUCGUUGGUGAGGUAAAGGCUCACCAAGGCGACGAUACAUAGCCGACCUGAGAGGGUGGUCGGACACACUGGGACUGAGACACGGCCCAGACUCCUACGGGAGGCAGCAGUAGGGAAUAUUCGGCACUGGACGGAAGGCUGACCGAGCAGCGCCGCGUGAGUGAAGAAGGUUGUCGGAGCGUAAAGCGCUGUUGUUAGGGAAGCGGUAACGAGCCUGAAAGGAACGGCUAACGACGUGCCAGCCGCCGCGGUAAUAC